rnacentral:rRNA from 1 species
CCUACGGGAGGCAGCAGUGGGGAAUAUUGGACAAUGGGGGCAACCCUGAUCCAGCCAUGCCGCGUGUGUGAAGAAGGCCCUCGGGUUGUAAAGCACUUUCAGUGAGGAAGAACGCCUGGUGGUUAAUACCCAUCAGGAAAGACAUCACUCACAGAAGAAGCACCGGCUAACUCCGUGCCAGCAGCCGCGGUAAUACGGAGGGUGCGAGCGUUAAUCGGAAUUACUGGGCGUAAAGCGCGCGUAGGUGGCUUGAUAAGCCGGUUGUGAAAGCCCCGGGCUCAACCUGGGAACGGCAUCCGGAACUGUCAAGCUAGAGUGCAGGAGAGGAAGGUAGAAUUCCCGGUGUAGCGGUGAAAUGCGUAGCGAUCGGGAGGAAUACCAGUGGCGAAGGCGGCCUUCUGGACUGACACUGCCACUGAGGUGCGAAAGCGUGGGUAGCAAACAGGAUUAGAUACCCCAGUAGUC